UACAGCGGGCCUAGCAUGACCGCCAUAGAAACAGCUUUUGUCUACCGAAGAAUCGACAAAAUGACAGAUUGAAGAAAGAUUUCUAUCGAUCCGAGCAUGGCGAUGUUUGACAUCGAGAAAAGAAAUGUUUCUUUUCUUCGUCGACAUGUGUCUAUCGCGUCGAGCAUGACGACUGUAUUUUCUCUACUUUUGACAUUUGGGAGUAGAUAUAACUUUCUAUAUGAAAUGUCAAAUACUCUACAUCUCAUCGGACCUAGACAAGAGUAGACAAGAAUAUUAUUAUAAUUUUAAGAUCUCAAAAAGCAUUUACAAAGUAUGUCGGGGUCCUACCGUCGUCAUGUGGUCAGUUUUUAUGCUGAAAAGAAUCAGUGUAAAGCUCAAAGAACGAGCUAUACGAGUGUUAAGCCUCUCGACAUUGAAAACGUAAAUGUGCAGAGAUGGUGCAGUAUUUGUGCGGAAUCUGUCUCCUAGGAUAUUUUAGGGUCUGCCUGUUCAUAUCAAUGUUCUUUGUUCGGGUCCUGCUUAGGUCAUUAACAACAUUACUAACCACUGUUAGCAAAUUUUUUAAGCAAUUUGUUUUUGCAGUGAAUACAAGGGUGCCUAUGCUACAACUCUUCCCGAAGAAAGGCAGAGAGAGAGACACACUAAUGACCUUAGCGGUAGCUUACUACAAGCUGCAACUCACAGAAGAGCAACUAUUAUGAAUAUCUUUGUAUAUCAACAGUUCUUCAAACCAUACAGACAGAAUUGAGUUGCUGGGGAGUUUGUUCCACCGCUUCUGCUGCUGAUUUUCAGCCUAUUUUGAAUAAAUGACUUUAUCUGUAGCCUUAAUUUUAUGUAAAUAAACCUUUACCUCUGUGUAAAUGA